CAAAAAACAAACAAAAAA
rnacentral:sRNA from 1 species